CGUGGGAGAAUACUUCAAGAUGACACGCUAUUUAACAAAAGACAACAAACAACAAACCUCCAACUUCAGAUACUGCAGAAAACCAUCAUCCUGUGACCAAGAACUGCAGAAUGCCUGAGUCUUAAAAGAAAAUCCUUCAAUUUCCUUGCUGAAUCAUCUUCAGCUAUCUUGCCCCUCCAGAGCUCUCCAGAAUUUGUGGCACCUAGAGGUUGCACUGAAAAGCAUUGCAUCUUUCUGACUCCCAGGGAAGCCACGCAACUUCAGAGAGAGGUAAUAAGCAAGCUGCAGAAUCUGAGAGUGAGAGCAAGCUGGACGGACACCAAAAUAGAUAUAUUUAAUAUUAUUCUUCACGUGUAAUAAAACUGCCUUUGCUGGAAGCCUCACCAACUCUUUGCCAUCUUUCUGACCUAAGUUUUCAUAUAAUUGAGACACACGAAGAUCCAAACUGAGAAAGUAUUCAGGUUUGACCCCAUAAUUGAUAGGUAUUUGCAGUGGUAGAGCACUAUGAAAUGACACAAGUGUGAAAAUCAUUUCAAUGACUGAGGUAGAUUGAAAAAAAAAAUGCAUUGGGAAAUAAAUAUGUACGUGUAGGGCUUAUCA
rnacentral:lncRNA from 1 species